UACGUAGGGAGCAAGCGUUGUUCGGAUUUACUGGGCGUAAAGGGCGCGUAGGCGGCCACCGCAAGUCGGUUGUGAAAUCUCUGGGCUUAACCCAGAAAGGUCAACCGAUACUGCGGGGCUAGAGUGCAGAAGGGGCAACUGGAAUUCUCGGUGUAGCGGUGAAAUGCGUAGAUAUCGAGAGGAACACCUGCGGCGAAGGCGGGUUGCUGGGCUGACACUGACGCUGAAGCGCGAAAGCUAGGGGAGCGAACGGG
rnacentral:rRNA from 1 species